rfam:Eucalyptus grandis cultivar BRASTZ1 unplaced genomic scaffold scaffold_8, whole genome shotgun sequence.
GUUCCCUGUGAUGAUUAUGACAUACCAUGCUAAUGCUGAUCAUCCCAUGAUUUGAAUGAUCUCUUCAUAUUUGAUUUCUGAGGGAACC